GGGCCCGCACAAGCGGUGGAGUAUGUGGUUUAAUUCGAUGCAACGCGAAGAACCUUACCAGGGUUUGACAUCCUGCGAAUUUCUUGGAAACGAGAAAGUGCCUUCGGGAACGCAGUGACAGGUGGUGCAUGGCUGUCGUCAGCUCGUGUCGUGAGAUGUUGGUUAAGUCCCGCAACGAGCGCAACCCACGUCUUUAGUUGCCAGCAUUUAGUUGGGCACUCUAGAGAGACCGCCGGUGAUAAACCGGAGGAAGGUGUGGAUGACGUCAAGUCAUCAUGCCCCUUACAUCCUGGGCUACACACGUACUACAAUGCUACGGACAAAGGGCAGCAAACUCGCGAGAGCUAG
rnacentral:rRNA from 1 species